AGUUCGUUUCAGCUCAGCUCCCAUAGACGAAGGUUUGGGUUGAACAGGAAGUUUCGACGAGAAGGCCGGAGCUUGACUUACUGAAG
rnacentral:sRNA from 9 species